rnacentral:rRNA from 1 species
GAUGAACGCUGGCGGCGUGCCUAAUACAUGCAAGUCGAGCGAACAGAUGAGGAGCUUGCUCCUCUGACGUUAGCGGCGGACGGGUGAGUAACACGUGGAUAACCUACCUAUAAGACUGGGAUAACUUCGGGAAACCGGAGCUAAUACCGGAUAAUAUAUUGAACCGCAUGGUUCAAUAGUGAAAGACGGUUUUGCUGUCACUUAUAGAUGGAUCCGCGCCGCAUUAGCUAGUUGGUAAGGUAACGGCUUACCAAGGCAACGAUGCGUAGCCGACCUGAGAGGGUGAUCGGCCACCCUGGAACUGAGACACGGUCCAGACUCCUACGGGAGGCAGCAGUAGGGAAUCUUCCGCAAUGGGCGAAAGCCUGACGAAGCAACGCCGCGUGAGUGAUGAAGGUCUUCGGAUCGUAAAACUCUGUUAUUAGGGAAGAACAAAUGUGUAAGUAACUAUGCACGUCUUGACGGUACCUAAUCAGAAAGCCACGGCUAACUACGUG